rnacentral:rRNA from 1 species
UACGAAGGGGGCUAGCGUUGCUCGGAAUUACUGGGCGUAAAGGGCGCGUAGGCGGACAGUUAAGUUGGGGGUGAAAGCCCGGGGCUCAACCUCGGAAAUGCCUUCAAUACUGGCUGUCUUGAGUACGGGAGAGGUGAGUGGAACUCCGAGUGUAGAGGUGAAAUUCGUAGAUAUUCGGAAGAACACCAGUGACGAAGGCGACUCACUGGCCCGUUACUGACGCUGAGGCGCGAAAGCGUGGGGAGCAAACAGG